CCUACGGGAGGCAGCAGUGGGGAAUAUUGCACAAUGGGGGACACCCUGAUGCAGCGACGCCGCGUGAGUGAAGAAGUAAUUCGUUAUGUAAAGCUCUAUCAGCAGGGAAGAACAUGACGGUCCCUUAGUAAGAAGCCCCGGCUAACUACGUGCCAGCAGCCGCGGUAAUCCGUAGGGGGCAAGCGUUAUCCGGAUUUACUGGGUGUAAAGGGAGCGUAGACGGCAGUGCAAGGCUGGAGUGAAAGGCGGGGGCGCAACCCCCGGACUGCUCUGGAAACUGUACGGCUGGAGUGCAGGAGAGGUAAGUGGAAGUCCUAGUGUAGCGGUGAAAUGCGUAGAUAUUAGGAGGAACACCAGUGGCGAAGGCGGCUUACGGGACUGUAACUGACGUUGAGGCUCGAAAGCGUGGGGAGCAAACAGGAUUAGAUACCCGAGUAGUC
rnacentral:rRNA from 1 species